UGGGGAAUAUUGGACAAUGGGCGAAAGCCUGAUCCAGCAAUGCCGCGUGAGUGAUGAAGGCCUUAGGGUUGUAAAGCUCUUUUACCAGGGAUGAUAAUGACAGUACCUGGAGAAUAAGCUCCGGCUAACUCCGUGCCAGCAGCCGCGGUAAUACGGAGGGAGCUAGCGUUGUUCGGAAUUACUGGGCGUAAAGCGCACGUAGGCGGCCAUUCAAGUCAGAGGUGAAAGCCCGGGGCUCAACCCCGGAACUGCCUUUGAAACUAGAUGGCUUGAAUCUUGGAGAGGCGAGUGGAAUUCCGAGUGUAGAGGUGAAAUUCGUAGAUAUUCGGAAGAACACCAGUGGCGAAGGCGACUCGCUGGACAAGUAUUGACGCUGAGGUGCGAAAGCGUGGGGAGCAAAACAGGAUUAGAUACCCUGGUAGUCCACGCCGUAAACGAUGAUAACUAGCUGUCCGGGUUCAUGGAACUUGGGUGGCGCAGCUAACGCAUUAAGUUAUCCGCCUGGGGAGUACGGUCGCAAGAUUAAAACUCAAAGGAAUUGAC
rnacentral:rRNA from 1 species